rnacentral:rRNA from 1 species
CCCGCGGCUAGACGGAAAGACCCCAUGAACCUUUACUGUAGCUUUGCAUUGGACUUUGAACCGAUCUGUGUAGGAUAGGUGGGAGGCUAUGAAACCGGAACGCUAGUUUCGGUGGAGCCGUCCUUGAAAUACCACCCUGGUUUGUUUGAGGUUCUAACCUUGGCCCGUGAUCCGGGUCGGGGACAGUGCAUGGUAGGCAGUUUGACUGGGGCGGUCUCCUCCCAAAGCGUAACGGAGGAGUACGAAGGUACGCUAGGUACGGUCGGAAAUCGUGCUGAUAGUGCAAUGGCAUAAGCGUGCUUAACUGCGAGACCGACAAGUCGAGCAGGUGCGAAAGCAGGUCAUAGUGAUCCGGUGGUUCUGUAUGGAAGGGCCAUCGCUCAACGGAUAAAAGGUACUCUGGGGAUAACAGGCUGAUACCGCCCAAGAGUUCAUAUCGACGGCGGUGUUUGGCACCUCGAUGUCGGCUCAUCUCAUCCUGGGGCUGUAGCCGGUCCCAAGGGUAUGGCUGUUCGCCAUUUAAAGAGGUACGUGAGCUGGGUUUAAAACGUCGUGAGACAGUUUGGUCCCUAUCUGCCGUGGGCGUUGGAUAUUUGAAGGGGGCUGCUCCUAGUACGAGAGGACCGGAGUGGACGAACCUCUGGUGUACCGGUUGUCACGCCAGUGGCAUCGCCGGGUAGCUAUGUUCGGAAGAGAUAACCGCUGAAAGCAUCUAAGCGGGAAACUCGCCUUAAGAUGAGAUAUCCCUGGGGACUAGAUCCCCUUGAAGGGUCGUUCGAGACCAGGACGUUGAUAGGUCGGGUGUGUAAGCGCAGUAAUGCGUUCAGCUAACCGAUACUAAUUGCCCGUAAGGCUUGAUCCUAUAACA